rnacentral:rRNA from 1 species
UACGGGGGGGGGUAAGCGUUGUUCGGAAUUACUGGGCGUAAAGGGCGCGUAGGCGGCCUGCUAAGUCGAACGUGAAAUCCCUGGGCUCAACCCAGGAACUGCGUCCGAUACUGGUUGGCUUGAAGUCCGGGAGAGGGAUGUGAACGGUACUACGAGUGUGACGGUGAAAUGCGUAGAUAUCUGGAGGAACACCGGUGGCGAAGGCGGACUCCUGGACCGGUAUUGACGCUGAGGCGCGAAAGCCAGGGGAGCAAACGGG